UCCUAAUUGUAUUGUUCACUUCUAUUAUUUUGAUUGACGACUUUUUUGAAAUAUUCAUAAUAACACCAACACGUUCAACAUAGGUACCAAUAUUAUUGCUUAAUUAGUUUGGUACUGACCUACAAGAAAGGUAAAUAAGACAAUCAGAAUGCAAGAAAGUCCGCGUCAUGAAAUAAAAUCAAGAAGUAUUUAUAUUUGGCUGCGAUGCUCUUAUUUUGAUCGUAACUCCUCAUCAUUUGCGAUGUUUCUUUUCGGACAAACUUACAACUGAUCGCUUAUGCAAUUGACCUUGCCAAUGUUUUCCUAACAAAUUACUCGAAUGAAUUCAUUUUUCCAAAAACAAAUUAUAUUAUUUGGAAAUCUUUUUGCGAUAUUGUGAUAUUUUGGGGAAAUUGAUUUUUUGGACAAAAUUAAUUUACCUAAAAGCAAUUUGUUGUCAUCUCAAUAUUUAAACUUUUUGAAUGUCCUACGCAUGAAUGUCAUAGACAAACAAACACACACACACGCACAAACCAACUGUAACAGACGGACAAGAAAAGCACGCACAAAAACAUAUUUAAGUGGAGAAUGAGAGUGAGUGAGUGUUCACGGAUCAUGGUAAACAUCAAAAUUGUUAAAUGCUGACUGAAGCAACGAACCAUCGUGGCAGACGCCGUCGUUGUUGUCCUCGUCGACAUUUUCGUCAACAUCAUCAUCAUCGUCAUCGUCAACGCAAUCAAAAACAGCAAUAGUACCAACACCACACCAUCAGCCAGCAAAAGCAAGAACAACAAAAACAUCUGUGGCAACAGCACAACUUUUUUUUGCAAAGAAGACAACGGAAAUGGACGAUGGCUGUUAAGAUGAGGGGGUGCUGGGCUGGUUAAGGUGGGGGUGGGAAAAACGACAGAAAACGGGCCAACAAAUCUUGGAUGCGGUGUUGUUGCUGUUAUUGUUGCCGCCUGUAACUGUGAAUGUGGUUGCGCUUGCCGUAUUUGUUAUUUUGUGUUGUUGUUUUAUUUUUUCUUACAUUUUUUCAAGACCAUAAGAAACUGUUAUACCUGGUGCUUGUGUCCGUGUGUGUGUGUGUUAAAUAAAAAGUAAAAGUAAUUCCACAAAUAAACACACGCACACAUGUACAUACAUUGAUGCGUGUGUGCACCUACCCAAAGUA